CAGGAUGAACGCUAGCUACAGGCUUAACACAUGCAAGUCGAGGGGCAGCAUGGUCUUAGCUUGCUAAGGCCGAUGGCGACCGGCGCACGGGUGAGUAACACGUAUCCAACCUGCCGUCUACUCUUGGACAGCCUUCUGAAAGGAAGAUUAAUACAAGAUGGCAUCAUGAGUCCGCAUGUUCACAUGAUUAAAGGUAUUCCGGUAGACGAUGGGGAUGCGUUCCAUUAGAUAGUAGGCGGGGUAACGGCCCACCUAGUCUUCGAUGGAUAGGGGUUCUGAGAGGAAGGUCCCCCACAUUGGAACUGAGACACGGUCCAAACUCCUACGGGAGGCAGCAGUGAGGAAUAUUGGUCAAUGGGCGAGAGCCUGAACCAGCCAAGUAGCGUGAAGGAUGACUGCCCUAUGGGUUGUAAACUUCUUUUAUAAAGGAAUAAAGUCGGGUAUGGAUACCCGUUUGCAUGUACUUUAUGAAUAAGGAUCGGCUAACUCCGUGCCAGCAGCCGCGGUAAUACGGAGGAUCCGAGCGUUAUCCGGAUUUAUUGGGUUUAAAGGGAGCGUAGAUGGAUGUUUAAGUCAGUUGUGAAAGUUUGCGGCUCAACCGUAAAAUUGCAGUUGAUACUGGAUAUCUUGAGUGCAGUUGAGGCAGGCGGAAUUCGUGGUGUAGCGGUGAAAUGCUUAGAUAUCACGAAGAACUCCGAUUGCGAAGGCAGCCUGCUAAGCUGCAACUGACAUUGAGGCUCGAAAGUGUGGGUAUCAAACAGGAUUAGAUACCCUGGUAGUCCACACGGUAAACGAUGAAUACUCGCUGUUUGCGAUAUACUGCAAGCGGCCAAGCGAAAGCGUUAAGUAUUCCACCUGGGGAGUACGCCGGCAACGGUGAAACUCAAAGGAAUUGACGGGGGCCCGCACAAGCGGAGGAACAUGUGGUUUAAUUCGAUGAUACGCGAGGAACCUUACCCGGGCUUAAAUUGCAGAUGAAUUACGGUGAAAGCCGUAAGCCGCAAGGCAUCUGUGAAGGUGCUGCAUGGUUGUCGUCAGCUCGUGCCGUGAGGUGUCGGCUUAAGUGCCAUAACGAGCGCAACCCUUGUUGUCAGUUACUAACAGGUUCCGCUGAGGACUCUGACAAGACUGCCAUCGUAAGAUGUGAGGAAGGUGGGGAUGACGUCAAAUCAGCACGGCCCUUACGUCCGGGGCUACACACGUGUUACAAUGGGGGGUACAGAGGGCCGCUACCACGCGAGUGGAUGCCAAUCCCCAAAACCUCUCUCAGUUCGGACUGGAGUCUGCAACCCGACUCCACGAAGCUGGAUUCGCUAGUAAUCGCGCAUCAGCCACGGCGCGGUGAAUACGUUCCCGGGCCUUGUACACACCGCCCGUCAAGCCAUGGGAGCCGGGGGUACAAGAAGUGCGUAACCGCGAGGAGCGCCCUAGGGUAA
rnacentral:rRNA from 1 species